AGUUGCAGAACUGAUCCUGGAGUUCCAGAACUGAUCCAGGAGGUCCAGAGUUGAUCCAGAAUCAAUUCAGGUGGUUCAGAACAUCUUCAGGAGAUCCUGGAGGUCCAGAACUGAACCAGGAGGUCCAGAAUUGAGCCUGGAGGUCCAGAAUUGAUCCAGGAGGUCCAGAACCUCUCCAGGAGGUCCAGAGUUGAUCCAGAAUCAAUUCAGGUGGUUCAGAACAUCUUCAGGAGAUCCAGAAUCGAUCCUGGAGGUUCAAAACAUCUCCAGGAGGUCCAGAACUGAGCCAGGAGGUGCAGAAUUUGUCCAGAACUGAACCAGGAGAUUCAGAAUUGAUCCAGGAGGUCCAGAACUGAUCCAGAAUCAAUUCAGGUGGUUCAGAACAUCUUCAGGAGAUCCAGAAUCGAUCCUGGAGGUUCAGAACCUCUCCAGGAGGUCCAGAAUUGAUCCUGGAGGUUCAAAACAUCUCCAGGAGGUCCAGAACUGAGCCUGGAGAUCCAGAAUUUGUCCAGAACUGAGCCAGGAGGUCCAGAGUUGAUCCAGAAUCAAUCCAGGUAGUUCAGAACAUCUUCAGGAGGUCCAGAGUUGAUCCUGGAGGUUCAAAACGGAUCCAGGAGGUGCAGAACUGAUCCAGGAGAUCCAGAAUUGAUCCAGGAGGUGCAGAGUUGAUCCAGAAUCAAUGCAGGUGGUUCAGAACAUCUUCAGGAGAUCCAGAAUCGAUCCUGGAGGUUCAGAACAUCUCCAGGAGGUCCAGAAUUGAGCUGGGAGGUCCAGAACGGAUCCAGAAUCAAUUCAGGUGGUUCAGAACCUCAUCAGGAGAUCCUGGAGGUCAAGAAUUGAUCCAGGAGGUCCAGAGUUGAUCCUGGAGGUUCAAAACAUCUCCAGGAGGUCCAGAAUUGAUCCAGGAGGUGCAGAACUUAACCAAGAGGUCCAGAACGGAUCCAGGAGGUCCAGAAUUGAUCCAGGAGAUCCAGAAUUGAUCCAGGAGGUUCAAAACAUCUCCAGGAGGUGCAGGACUGAUCCAGGAGGUCCAGAACUGAGCCUGGAGGUCCAGAGUUGAUCCAGAACCAAUUCAGGUGGUUCAGAACCUCAUCAGGAGAUCCUGGAGGUCAAGAAUUGAUCCAGGAGGUCCUGAGUUGAUCCUGGAGGUUCAAAACAUCUCCAGGAGAUCCAGAACUGAGCCUGGAGGUCCAGAAUUGAGCCGGGAGGUUCAGAACCUCUCCAGGAGAUCCAGAAUUUGUCCAGAACUGAACCAGGAGAUUCAGAAUUGAUCCAGGAGGUCCAGAACUGAUCCAGGAUGUCCAGAGUUGAUCCAGAAUCAAUUCAGGUGGUUCAGAACAUCUUCAGGAGAUCCAGGAGGUCCAGAAUUUGUCCAGAACUGAUCCAGGAGGUCCAGAACUGAGCCAAGAGAUCCAGAAUUGAUCCAGGAGAUCCAGAACAGAUCCAGGAGGUCCAGAGUUGAUCCAGGAGGUCCAGAAUUGAUCCAGGAGGUUCGAAACGGAUCCAGGAGGUCCAGAACUGAUCCAGGAGGUGCAGAGUUGAUCCAGGAGGUUCAAAACAUCUCCAGGAGGUCCAGAACUGAUCCAGAAUCAAUUCAGGUGGUUCAGAACAUCUUCAGGAGACCCUGGAGGUCCAGAAUUUAUCCAGGAGGUUUAAAACAUCUCCAGGAGGUCCAGAAGUGAGCCGGGAGGUCCAGAAUGGAUCCAGGAGUUCCAGAAUUGAGCUGGGAGGUGCAGAGUUGAUCCAGAAUCAAUUCAGGUGGUUCAGAACUUCUUCAGGAGAUCCUGGAGGUGCAGAACUGAUCCUGGAGGUUCAGAACCUCUCCAGGAGUUCCAGAACUGAUCCUGGAGGUGCAGAAUUGAGCCGGGAGUCCAGAACUGAGCCAGGAGAUCCAGAAUUGAGCCGGGAGGUCCAGAGUUGAUCCAGAAUCAGUUCAGAUGGUUCAGAACAUCUUCAGGAGAUCCUGGAGGUCCAGAACUGAUCCAGGUGGUUCAGAACAUCUCCAGGAGUUCCAGAAUUGAGCCUGGAGGUGCAGAACUUAACCAAGAGGUCCAGAACUGAUCCAGGAGGUGCAGAAUUGAUCCAGGAGGUG